AUUGAACGCUGGCGGCAGGCCUAACACAUGCAAGUCGAGCGGAUGAAGGGAGCUUGCUCCUGGAUUCAGCGGCGGACGGGUGAGUAAUGCCUAGGAAUCUGCCUGGUAGUGGGGGAUAACGUCCGGAAACGGGCGCUAAUACCGCAUACGUCCUGAGGGAGAAAGUGGGGGAUCUUCGGACCUCACGCUAUCAGAUGAGCCUAGGUCGGAUCAGCUAGUUGGUGGGGUAAAGGCCUACCAAGGCGACGAUCCGUAACUGGUCUGAGAGGAUGAUCAGUCACACUGGAACUGAGACACGGUCCAGACUCCUACGGGAGGCAGCAGUGGGGAAUAUUGGACAAUGGGCGAAAGCCUGAUCCGGCCAUGCCGCGUGUGUGAAGAAGGUCUUCGGAUUGUAAAGCACUUUAAGUUGGGAGGAAGGGCAGUAAGUUAAUACCUUGCUGUUUUGACGUUACCAACAGAAUAAGCACCGGCUAACUUCGUG
rnacentral:rRNA from 1 species